AAGCCUCGGUCACACCUUACCGGAUAAGACGAACGGACGCCUAACGGAUGAAAAUAAAAGUUGUCCGUUGACAAAAUUGUUAUCCGUUGGGCGUCCGUUGAUGUACUGACCAACUAAAACGGACGCCUAACGAAUGCAUAACGGACAUGCAACGGAUAUGCAACGGACGAGAAACGGAGACGUAACGGACAGAACGGAUGUCGAACGUACAUCCAACGGACGAGUACCGCAUAAAACGGACACCUAACGGAAGCGUACCGGAUAAAACGGAUAAACAAGAUAUACGAAAAAAUUAAAGGCGACAAUAAUAAUACAUGUCAAUCGCAUUAAUAUUGAAAAUGUUCUAGUUAAGUAAUUAAGUAAGUUGAUUUUAUUUCGAGUCGGCAUAUAUAUACAUAAUAACAGACA
rnacentral:lncRNA from 1 species